ACACAAUAACCAAUAAUGACAAAGCAAAAACUUUUUUUUUUGCAAAUGUAUAACAAAAAGUGGAAAUAUCACAUUUACAUUGGGGCGGCAGGGUAGCCUAGCGGUUAGAGUGUUGGACUAGUAACCGGAAGGUUGCAAGUUCAAAUCCCUGAGCUGAGAAGGUACAAAUCUGUUGUUCUGCCCCUGAACAGGCAGUUAACCCACUGUUGUAAGGCUGUCAUUGAAAAUAAGAAUUUGUUCUUAACUGACUUGCCUAGUUAAAUAAGUAUUGAAGCACCUUUGGCAGUGAUAACAGCCUUGAGUCUUCUUGGGUAUGAAGCUACAAGCUUGGUACACCUGUAUUUGUGGAGUUUCUCCAAUUCUUCUCUGCAGAUCCUCUUAAGCUCUGUCAGGUUGGAUGGGGAGUAUCGCCGCUGCACAGCUAUUUUCAGGUCUCUCCAGAGAUGUUCAAUCAGGUUCAAGUUCGGGCUCUGGAUGGGCCACUCAAGGCCAUUCAGAGACUUGUCCUGAAGCCACUCCUGUAUUGUCUUGGCUGUGUGCUCAGGAUUGUUGUUCUGUUGGAAGGUGAACCUUCGCCUCAGUCUGUGAUCCUGAGCGCUUUGGAGCAGGUUUUCUUCAAGGAUCUCUAUGUCCUUUGCUCCAUUCAUCUUUGGCUCGAUCCUGACUAGUCUCCCAGUGCCUGCCGCUGAAAAACAUCUACACAGCAUGAUGCUGGCACCACCAUGCUUCAACGUAGGGAUGGUGCCAGGUUUCUGCCAGACGUGAUGCUUGGCAUUUAGGCCAAAGAGUUCAUCUUUGGUUUCUUCAGACCAGAGAAUCUUGUUUCUCAUGGUCUGAAAGUCGUUAGGUCCCUUUUGGCAAACUCCAAGACGGGCUGUCGUGUGUUAUUUUUUGAGGAGUGGUUUCCAUCUGGCCACUCUACCAUAAAGGCCUGAUUGGUGGAGUGCUGCAGAGAUGGCUGUCCUUCUGGAAGGUUCUCCCAUCUCCACAGAGGAACCCUGGAGCUCUGUCAGAGUGACCAUCUGUUCUUGGUCACCUCCCUGACAAAGGCCCUUCUCCCCCUAUUGCUCAGUUUGGCCAGGCAGGCAGCUCUAGGAAGAGUCUUGGUGGUUCCAAACUUCUUCCAUUUAAGAAUGAUGGAGGCCGCUGUGUUCUUAGGGACCUUCAAUGCUGCAGAAAUGUUUUGGUCCCUUCCCCAGAUCUGUGCCUCGACACAAUCCUGUCUCGGAGCUCUACUGACAAUUCCUUCGACCUCAUGUCUUGGUUUUUGCUCUGACAUUCACUGUCAACUGUAGGACCUUACAUAGACAGGUGUGUGCCUUUCCCAAUUUGUUCAAUCAAUUGAAUUUACCACAGGUGGACUCCAAGUUGUAGAAACAUCUCAAGGAUGAUCAAUGGAAACAGGAUGCACCUGAGCUCAAUUUCAAGUCUCAUACUUAAGUAAAUGUUUGACCUUUUAUACAUUUGCAGUAAAAAACAAAGUUUUUGCUUUGUCGUUAUGCGGUACUGCGUGCCUAUUGAUGAGGGAUUUACAAAAUCAUUUUAGAAGAAGGCUGUAACGUAACAAUGUGGAAAAAGGGAAGGUGUCUGAAUACUUCGGAAUCCACUGUAUUAUUGCAGGUGCGUAGGAGAAAAAACAAUCAGUAGAAAGCAGAAACAUUGCACUUUAAUGGAUGUUUAUUUGAAAGUACAGAGUGUCAUAUGCAGGCAUCUCUUCUCUAAAAGCAUACUAAUAUGAACCACGAGCCCUAAAGCACCACACACAGUUUUGUUUUGGAACCUUGACUACUCUCAAACCCCUCUGGAGGAACAGUUCUGUUUGAUGUCUCACCACUGGCAUCAGCCCGAGAACAACUAACAUGGCACAACAGCAUACUUGGAGAACUGUACAAUACAAACAUGUAGAAACACUACAGACAGUGGGAGCAGGGUAGAGUUCAGGGGUAGAGAGAGGACAGGAGGUUACAGAGAACAGACUAUCAGACCCUACAGAGAGAGAUGGUGCUAGAGAUGGGACAGAGGAUAGGAAAAAGGAUGAGGACAGUAAUAGUCAGACCAGGACAAACAAACUGGACGACUCCGUUAAACAACAUCCUGCUGUGGGGAGAAUCAGGAGUGUCUGCAGAAAUCACAGUGAUUUCACAGCUGUAACGUGUGUGUGCAUGUUCUUCAAGAGGACAGAGCAGCUCCUUCAGAGGGUGGAGAGGUCAGACGCAGCUCCAGUGGCAUCGACUAGUGCCUCACACACAUCACCCUUGGUAAGACUGCUGUGUGUGUAUCCUCGACAGGGCCCUGGGUUCAGGCCUGUCUCGGAGCUGUGGCUGUGAGGCUGGGGGAUCAUUUAUACCAAUGGAUCCGUUCGUAAACAUGCUCUAGCGCUCUCAUCGACUGGGGUGGAGUGGUGAUAAACUCAUCCCCAGAACGGUUGGUCCAGCCCAGCCCAGGGAGAGGACCGCUACUAUUAUCCACUGGUCAGAGCCAGAGGACACGUGUGUGUGUGUGUUUUAGAGAGAGCCAGGGCACAGAGGGGCUUUAGAGGGUAUGAUUGCAUUUGAGUAAGUAUAAAUAAAUAUGCACUAGAAACCUUGCAAUUGCUGUCUCUAUCUCCCUUAAUCUCUGUGUCUGUCUUUCUUUACCCUCACACUCCUCCUAGCUGUUUCUCCAUCUCUCUAUCACCCCCCUAUUUUCAUAAUUUGAUGGUUAGAGGAAGGGAGCUAGUGGGCUGAGAGGCUCACAGAGUUCAAGGGACUUCCCAGAGUUCACAGAAAGUACAUAGAGAUGGAUAGAGACAGAAAGAGAGAGAGAGCGAGAUGAAGAGAGAGAGGAGAGAGCAGGAGUCUGCAGACAGACCAAGGGUGGAAUAACCUGCAUAGUUCCUGUGAAAGUACCUGGAAGGAAGCCAGGCUGUCAGCCAAUGAGAGAUGAGGAUGCAGGAAGACCUGCCAAUCACAGAGGUCAUCCAUGCUAUGUCAUCCAGGUUGCUAUGUCAACCAACUCCAUAACAACCAAUCAAUCUACCUGGAGAGGAAGGAUAGAUAGACCACAAGCAUCAUAGCUCAAUGUGUGUAACAUACUAUUAUUAACAUUUAGUGUGCUAAUAAUAAUACUGUUCAUGUUUCCUCUGGUUUCAGAGGUGUUGUGUCGUGGUGAUGCUGCAGACAGAGGAGAGCCGAAAAGAAGGGCCCCAGGGCAGGGUUUGAACUACAUGCCACAACUCCCCCAGAACACCCCACCCUCUCCACUACCCUCUUCCUUGUGUUCCUCUCCUUCUGACCAGAGUCCAGGAGUACAGGGAGGGGAGGAGAGAGGAGGAGAACACAGCAAGACAGCUGAAGAAGGGGGAACAGAGGAUGAAGUUUCUCGCUCUCUCGCUCUCAUGUUCUUCCCCUCAGAGUGACAUCUUGGGAGAGAAAGAGAGAGAGAUCAGGAGGAGAAGAGGAGCGAAUUGAGAAGGGGGAUAUCAGCCUUAUUGGACCGACUGCAGGGUGGGGGCAAAGGGGUUGCAUAGGGGCAGAUGGAGGUACAGCUCCCCCUUGUGGCCGUGGAAGAAGACAGCAUUGUCUGAUAGACCCAUAGCCAGACCUCCAGACCAGAGGACACCUUCACAUUCCCUGACCCAGCACACAACACCUCAGAGUGGCGAGAGGAGACCGUCAUCUGUCCUUCCAAGCUGAACCACAUGACCCAGCAGAGAGCAUCUUUGGAGUGUCCUGUCUGACUGAGAUGAACGGGCUUGGUCUGGGAUGAGACUGUCAUCCUAAUGUCUCGUCUGUGUGUGUGCCUGUGUGGGAUCAGAUGAGGCUGUGGCGUUUAGAAAAUAAAGCAGGACUCUGUGUGUCUGUCAUCGUUUCUCAUUACAAGGAACAUUCACUCCAAAAUCUAACUUUUCAAAAGGUUUCAUAACUCAUAAAGGAGUCUAAAGUCGAGUCAAUUUCCACGCCAUCUGUUGCGCAGAUCCUGCUGUAUGCAGAAUAAAUAUCCAGCUUUUAUUUCGGGUUUGAUAGGCCAGGGUAUGGUAUGUCUAUCUCCUAAACCCCGUUGUUCAGAGACCUAAAGGAUCACACUGUGUGUGGCAUAACACUCCACGAGAGGAGUUGUCUUGCUUUCCCAGGCUUGUCAAGAGACCGCAACAAAGGCUUUCUUUGUUAACUAAUAUGAAAGGAAAAAUCAUAAAUAUGGAUGAUUGUUAAAAGUAGUCAUUACAUGAACAACUGCCUUAUAAACACUGAACUGUCUGAACUGAACUGUCCUGUAGAUCCAGACUUUGAGUGGGUUAUGCUGAAGCUUCAGAAUAGCUUCUUGUUCUGUGAGAGAUCUUUUCUGGAGGACAUCAUCAUUCAGUGUAACGGAGACUAUCAACAGGCAUGUGUGCUAGUCUAAUGACAACCCUUGUCAUUCAGUGUUUCCAACAUAUACAUGGGUAACUUCAAGGGUACCUACUCUGUCAUUAAGUAUAACAGAGAUAAUCAAUUUGACUGCUCAUUUUUUUUACGACACUUUCUUUUGUGUGAUAAGGAAAAAUCAGCUUUUUAGCCAUUAUUAGUGUAAACUGUUAGUACUCUAUCUUUGUCAUAUCUUAGUAAUAAUAAUAUUGUGAAAUAAUAAUAAUAAUAAUAAUAUUGUGAUACUAGAUAAUUUCUUCGCACAACAAUGACUCAUAUUUUCCAUUGUCUCUGACAGUGAUUUAGGAUGAUGUGCGUUUUACAAAAUAACUGUAGGUCACUGGGAUGAGUCAGCAUCUCUAUAUGCAUUUGGCUUUUAACAAGUUCAAUGUGUUGUAAUGGAAACAUCUGUCCAGGAAGAGAUGCUGUUUUCUGUUUGUCUGUAUAAAGACUAAUCCCAAUGAUAUGUUGACUAUCCAUUACAUGCUUCCUGACUGGAAGAAUGGACAUCAAUGGAUUGUUUCCUUUAAUGUCUCCUGUUAGAUCAUGUAUUAGGUCUUUAUGAUCAGUGUGAUCUCUUGUUUUUACUGUUUCCUUUAAUGUCUCCUGUUAGAUCAUGUAUUAGGUCUUUAUGAUCAGUGUGAUCUCUUGUUUUUACUGUUUCCUUGUUUGAAUCAGUAUUGUAAUGUUUGGGUCAGCUAUCCAGGGCUGUGUUUAAUAAAUGGGUGUUAAAAUCAAA
ensembl:lncRNA